AGAGUUUGAUCAUGGCUCAGAUUGAACGCUGGCGGCAUGCCUUACACAUGCAAGUCGAACGGCAGCACGGGUGCUUGCACCUGGUGGCGAGUGGCGAACGGGUGAGUAAUACAUCGGAACGUACCUUAUCGUGGGGGAUAACGCAGCGAAAGCUGUGCUAAUACCGCAUACGCCCUGAGGGGGAAAGCGGGGGAUCGCAAGACCUCGCGCGAUUAGAGCGGCCGAUGCCUGAUUAGCUAGUUGGUGGGGUAAAAGCCCACCAAGGCGACGAUCAGUAGCUGGUCUGAGAGGACGAUCAGCCACACUGGGACUGAGACACGGCCCAGACUCCUACGGGAGGCAGCAGUGGGGAAUUUUGGACAAUGGGGGCAACCCUGAUCCAGCAAUGCCGCGUGAGUGAAGAGGGCCUUCGGGUUGUAAAGCUCUUUUGUCAGGGAAGAAACACCGGCUCUAACACAGUCCGGGAAUGACGGUACCUGAAGAAUAAGCACCGGCUAACUACGUGCCAGCAGCCGCGGUAAU
rnacentral:rRNA from 1 species